rnacentral:lncRNA from 1 species
GAGCAAUUGUUUCGUCCUGCAUGAGAUUCAAUCUUCAAUUCCAGUACUUGUUAUAUGGUGAUUAUAGCAGAUACGAUUCCCUUGUCCUCUCUGAAACUAGAACAGAUAGUAUAAACUUGCUAUGAUUAAUGUUAAUAUCUUGGAUGAUAAAAGGCUAAUUUCUUCUGGGAUUGUACCUAUGUACUCAAUUUUGUCUUUACACCUUCAAUUAUUUUCCUUU